rnacentral:lncRNA from 1 species
AGAGAAAAAUUUCAGAAUGACAUGGUAAAAACCACUGGAGCCCAUAUUUUUUCUGCACAGCAUAUUCAGAUGACUAAAUCCAUAGUGGCUUUAAAAAAUUGAGCUAGAAAGACUCCAAGAAGUCCAGCAAAGACAAUCUGAAAUCACAAAUAACAUUGGUCUCCUGUUACAUGGCAAAAUGAUGUCUUCUUUCUUCCUCUAUCCAAGCUUAUGAAAAGUAUUCACUAAUUUUACCAAUGUGUUCAGUUCUAGUUCAAUGUGUUUUUUUCUUCUCUUACCUUGCAUUUUUUAACCAUAAAGGUUUUAACGAUAAUGUGAAAUUGCUGAUUAAUUAUAAGUAAUUAUAUUAAUGUGAUAUAUAGUUUUAGAAUUUUUAGUGUAGGCCUUAUGAAACGCUGGAAAAAUUGAUGAAGAAGGGAAGUUGAGAGCCAGGAAAGCUGCUUUCAUCUCAUUGCCAUCCAGUACUGAGGAAGAAAAUGUAAUUUUCAAGUAGUGAUAAAUCAAAUUAUUGAAUCAAAUCCCUUUUAAAGUAAAACCCAGAAUGUACCAUCUUGUUUCUCUUCAGUUUAAUAAGUGGUAUCAUAAAGAUGACUUUGCUAAGAUAAUACUUCUGGAAAUGUCAGAAUAGAGUUUAAAAAUUUUUAAGAUUGGUCAAAAUAUUAACUUUAUAAUAAAACAUAUACUUGGCAAAUGAAUUUCCUAUAAAUUAUCAUUGGUCAGAAUGCUGUUUUGUUGAAUUAUAUUAUGUAAUAUAAACCAUAGGUGUUAUUAGAAAGUAGAGAACUGCCUUUCUUAUUUAGAGCUUUCAAGGACUUGCUAUAAAUGAUUAUUUUUAAAAUGCUUUAUAAAUCUUCAUGAUUUUUCUAUUUUGGAUAAACUCAGCUAUAGUUAAUGACAGCAUCCUACCUUGAGUAGAUAUUUGGAUUAUUUAAAUCUAGUAAAAGAAGAAAGUUAUACUUCUUCGAGUAUUAAGAGAUAGGAGUAAAGAUUCACUUUUAAGUUAUUGAAAAUAUGUGUAUCCUCCUAAAUAUUAACAAAAAUGAUUUGGGAUAACUGACAUGGCUUGGUUAUUCAGCUUAAAUUUGUACUGUGGCUUAUGUUACACAGGUUGUUGAUGCUCACCUCUCACUCACUUGUUUCUAAUUGUUUUAUAAGGUUUAAAAUUCUCUCUUUAGAGAAAUUCAGAAAAUUCACCUGGCACAUAUUUUGACCUCCUAGGUAACAUAUUUGUACCAGUAUUGAAUUUUGGUCAGUGCCCCAAUAUAAGAAAGUUACUGUUUUAAAAUAAAGCAAACUAUCUUAUUUUCCUUGGAAAAAAAAAGAAGUUUUACAAUAAAUAGCAUAGUAUAAAUGAAUACUAUGGUUUGAGAUGGCUAUAAGUGCUAAAAAUCACAUCUGAAAAUGAUUUCAGUUAAUUUUCCUAUUUAACAUGGGAUGUUUUCUUCCUAAUAGAAAUAAUCUUUUUAUUAAAAAAAACUUUCCAAAGCAAUGGAUUAGUAGGCAGUUUGGAUGCCAAUGAUGAGAAAGCAAGUAUAGAGUGUCUCGCUGGCAAGAGUGAUCAGCAGAGGCGAUGUCACUAGCAGUGUCCCAGGAUACUUGGUUUAAUUAUUUAUCACAGGGUCCCUGACAUUGGUUUUCAGAGCACAGAGCUUUAUGCAGGGUGCCUCAUUCUGGGUACCUAGUCUCAUUUCCUUUGCCUGGGACAAAAUAGUUUUGAGAACUGCUCUAGAGAUUCAAGGUAACUUUUGAAAAAAAAUUAAAUUUUUCUCCCAAUAGCUUAAAAAGGAGUUAAAAAUUAGUCUCCUAAAAAGUCAGAGGUAGAAGAAAUUUUAGAGAACACCUAGUACAAUGCAAUCAUUUUACAGAUAAGGUAACUGAGCUUCAGGGGUUAAGUGAGUUGGCCAAACUUAUACCUCUUGUUCACAGCAGAACUAGGAGAGAAAUCAAAUCUAACCUGUGUCUGGAGCUCCCUCUGACCCUUUUAAACUUUGCUGCUAUUAAGAGGACCUAGUUCUAGGUAGUCAUUUUACAUUUGCAGCCCCAUUAUAAAGUAGAGUCUGCCGUAACGUUUUCCAGUGUGUAGUAUGUUGAAACAUGAAAAUAGUCAUCUGAUUCUAGCCCCUUUGCAUCGUGUUGUGAGAAACCCGGCACUACUAGUUACUUUGGCAGGGUUUCUCGGUCCACCUCCUCCUAGACUCUCAGGCUUCUGUCUGGAACCACAGGAGAGAUGCUGUGGUAGCUUCAUGUUUCAGAUGCUUUCUUAAAUAAAUGGCCAUGCUAGAGCCCAAGGCAAAUCUUUCUUUCUUGGAGACCCAUUUUACUGUAACAAAUGUGACAAGAAGUCUAUCUCAGCCACUUAUUUUGAUAAUAAGCUUUUCAUCUUUCCUGAACAUGCUCAGGAAUUUUGGUAAAUAAAAGGAGGAAUUCAAGAAUGAGGGAUGAUCGGCACUUUCUAGGGCUUAGGAACUGCUUACCCUGCAUGGAGACCGGAAUCAGGUGAUGCGGAAAGUCAUUUUGUUAAAAAUAGGUCAGUGUGAGGUGCUCAGACAGCUGUCUAAUCUCAGCACAAUUAUCCUUCUCUAUAGAGAUGCUUAUAAAUGCCAUGAUUAUAUAAAUAGAAAAAAGAUUUUUUUUCAUUAUUUCUUCUUCUAAAAAAAAGGGAUACAUGUGCAGAACGUGCAGGUUUGUUACAUAGGUAUAUGUGUGCCAUGGUGGUUUGCUGCCCCUAUUGACCUGUCCUCUAAGUUCCCUCCCCUCACUCUCCACCCCCCAACAGGACCUAGUGUGUGUUGUUCCCCUCUCUGUGUCCAUGUGUUUGAAGAGAGAAUUUUUUUAAAACAAAUUUUCCAUGAUGGGGCCAUAAGAAGCAGACCUCCUAAAUCUCAGAAUAUUGACAGUCUCCAAUCAUUUGGUGGUAAAUUCAAAAGGAAAAAUCUACUCACUGU